UUAUUUUGAUGCAAACUCUGUUAUGCUAACUGUUUGAGCACUACGAAUGUUUAAAACUCAAAGGACUUGGCGGCUAAUUAACUAAUUAGGGGAACAUGUGUCUUAAUUCGAAAGUGCGCGUUUGAUCAUACCAUAUCUUGAACAGUCGGUGUACUGCCGUUGUCAGCUGGUGGUGAAACUGGCUCAACCAUGAAUGCAGGUCAAAGUGCUGCCAAUGGUGUUGGGGAGUAGGUGUUACAUGAUACGGAGGGGUUAAUAAGGUUAACACAAGUGAAAUCGUGAGGGAAGGU
rnacentral:rRNA from 1 species